rnacentral:rRNA from 1 species
CAGUCGCCACGGUAAUACAGAGGGUGCAAGCGUUAAUCGGAAUUACUGGGCGUAAAGCGCGCGUAGGUGGUUUGUUAAGUUGGAUGUGAAAUCCCUGAGCUUAACUUAGGAAUUGCAUUCGAUACUGGGAAGCUAGAGUAUGGGAGAGGAUGGUAGAAUUCCAGGUGUAGCGGUGAAAUGCGUAGAGAUCUGGAGGAAUACCGAUGGCGAAGGCAGCCAUCUGGCCUAAUACUGACGCUGAGGUACGAAAGCAUGGGGAGCAAACAGGAUUAGAUACCCCCGUAGUCCCUGUCUCUUAUAC